rnacentral:rRNA from 1 species
UACGUAGGGGGCUAGCGUUGUCCGGAUUUAUUGGGCGUAAAGAGCGUGUAGGCGGCUAGAUAGGUCCGUUGUGAAAACUCGAGGCUCAACCUCGAGACGCCGAUGGAAACCAUCCAGCUAGAGUCCGGAAGAGGAGAGUGGAAUUCCCGGUGUAGCGGUGAAAUGCGCAGAUAUCGGGAAGAACACCCGUGGCUAAGGCGGCUCUCUAGUACGGUACUGACGCUGAGACGCGAAAGCGUGGGGAGCGAACAGG